GAAUGUAAGGGCCAUCCGGCCGCAACAUCUUUCACCCCAUUGAUCACCAGGGUUGAUUUGGCUGAUGUGGCUGGCUGAGGGGGGCGGUGUGCCCUUCCUCCCUCACUGCUCCAUGUGCGUUGCUUUGGAAGCUGCGUCCUGGGUCUAAGAGGACAAUCAUCUCCAGUAGAGGAGAAUGUCUUCUUUCAAGAGGAUACAAGUAGCUGUGCUUCCCUGCUAGAACCUCCAAACAAGCUCUCAAGGACAGGCUAUCAAAAGGUCCCAUGUGGUAAAAACAAUAAAUAACGGCUCUCCUGGAACAUUUUCCUGCAAAUUAUGAAUGCAUGGAUCCAAGUCCCUCGUGUUUUCUGAUUCUUUCAUU
rnacentral:snRNA from 1 species